CAUGCAAGUCGAACGGUCACUUACGAGUGAUAGUGGCUGACGGGUGAGGAACGCGUGAGAAUCUGCCUUGAGGUCGGGGACAACAGUUGGAAACGACUGCUAAUACCGGAUGAGCUGAAAAGUCAAAGAUUUAUCGCCUCGAGAGGAGCUCGCGUCUGAUUAGCUAGAUGGUGAGGUAAAGGCUUACCAUGGCGACGAUCAGUAGCUGUCUGAGAGGAUGAGCAGCCACACUGGGACUGAGACACGGCCCAGACUCCUACGGGAGGCAGCAGUGGGGAAUUUUCCGCAAUGGGCGCAAGCCUGACGGAGCAAUACCGCGUGAGGGAGGAAGGCUCUUGGGUUGUAAACCUCAAAACUUAGGGAAGAAGAAAGUGACGGUACCUAAUGUAAGCAUCGGCUAACUCCGUGCCAGCAGCCGCGGUAAUACGGAGGAUGCAAGCGUUAUCCGGAAUCAUUGGGCGUAAAGAGUCCGUAGGUGGCAAUUCAAGUCUGCUGUCAAAGACCGAAGCUCAACUUCGGGCCGGCGGUGGAAACUGAAAAGCUAGAGUAUAGUAGGGGUAGAGGGAAUUCCUAGUGUAGCGGUGAAAUGCGUAGAGAUUAGGAAGAACACCAGUGGCGAAGGCGCUCUACUGGGCAUAUACUGACACUGAGGGACGAAAGCUAGGGUAGCGAAAGGGAUUAGAUACCCCUGUAGUCCUAGCGGUAAACGAUGGAUACUAGGUGUUGUCUGUAUCGACCCAGACAGUGCCGAAGCAAACGCGUUAAGUAUCCCGCCUGGGGAGUACGCACGCAAGUGUGAAACUCAAAGGAAUUGACGGGGACCCGCACAAGCGGUGGAGUAUGUGGUUUAAUUCGAUGCAACGCGAAGAACCUUACCAAGGCUUGACAUCCUGCGAAUUGAGAGGAAACUCACAAGUGCCUUCGGGAACGCAGAGACAGGUGGUGCAUGGCCGUCGUCAGCUCGUGUCGUGAGAUGUUGGGUUAAGUCCCGCAACGAGCGCAACCCUCGUCCUUAGUUGCCAGCACUCAGUUGGGGACUCUAGGGAGACCGCCGGGGAGAACUCGGAGGAAGGUGGGGAUGACGUCAAGUCAGCAUGCCCCUUACGUCUUGGGCUACACACGUACUACAAUGGUGGAGACAAAGGGAAGCGAAGCCGCGAGGUGGAGCGAAUCCCAGCAAACUCUGCCCCAGUUCAGAUUGCAGGCUGAAACUCGCCUGCAUGAAGGAGGAAUCGCUAGUAAUCGCAGGUCAGCAUACUGCGGUGAAUCCGUUCCCGGGUCUUGUACACACCGCCCGUCACACCAUGGAAGUUGGUCACGCCCGAAGUCGUUACUCCAACCCC
rnacentral:rRNA from 1 species